GACCUGGCCCAGACCUCAGC
rnacentral:miRNA from 1 species